AUGAACGCUGGCGGCGUGCCUAAUACAUGCAAGUCGAGCGAACGGACGAGAAGCUUGCUUCUCUGAUGUUAGCGGCGGACGGGUGAGUAACACGUGGAUAACCUACCUAUAAGACUGGGAUAACUUCGGGAAACCGGAGCUAAUACCGGAUAAUAUUUUGAACCGCAUGGUUCAAAAGUGAAAGACGGUCUUUCUGUCACUUAUAGAUGGAUCCGCGCUGCAUUAGCUAGUUGGUAAGGUAACGGCUUACCAAGGCAACGAUGCAUAGCCGACCUGAGAGGGUGAUCGGCCACACUGGAACUGAGACACGGUCCAGACUCCUACGGGAGGCAGCAGUAGGGAAUCUUCCGCAAUGGGCGAAAGCCUGACGGAGCAACGCCGCGUGAGUGAUGAAGGUCUUCGGAUCGUAAAACUCUGUUAUUAGGGAAGAACAUAUGUGUAAGUAACUGUGCACAUCUUGACGGUACCUAAUCAGAAAGCCACGGCUAACUACGUG
rnacentral:rRNA from 1 species